CAGUCAUCUUCAAAUUCUUCACAACUCAACAACGAUUGGGCCGGGCCGGAGUAGACGCUGACUUAACAAAGCGAACAAGUGAACAACGGCGGAUUCACUGAUGAGAAACUCAUACGCCGCCUCGGAAGCUUCUCGCCAGAACCGAGGGACCCUAACACCACCGGAGCGAUCGUACAUAUCCCACAUCUGCCUCACCACUUGCGUUCUCUCUUCAAUUUCCUGUCAUAAAUUCAAAUUAACAAUUGCAAUCAAAAUUCAUAAUUGGUUCAUACGUACCAGGACGUCGAGAUCGUCGCCGACGGAGAACCCGUUAACGCCGUCAACAGAAUGGAACAAACGGUUAACAUAGAAUCAAAUGCCAAGAGUAGAACUGCGGCAAGAACCCAAAGCACGUUUGCGAUCACGGCUGAGAGUGAGACAACCUCCUCCAUUAACAGGUUUUCUAAACGGGUAAGAGUGUUUGCGGUUCUUCAAACGCUCUUAUAUUUUCCUCAGCUGAUCUCCGAAAUGAAAAACUCUGUUUAUGGGACCCUUGAAUUGAUGAUAAAAAGGAACACAACAAUAGUACAAGACCAAGAGGUUCUUCACAGCUCAGGAGAGAUCAGAAGAAGUUACUUAUGUCAGCACAGACAAUAUCAGUGUGAAGUUUGAGAUUUUUUUGACAAAAUUGAGCUAGUCUUGUCUGGAACUCUUGAGAUGUCAGAUAGUAAUGGGUUUAUUGGGGGAAUCAAACAAUCGAUGGAAGAUGAAUUGCGAGGCUGAGAUCACCACUGCAGGUCAAGACUUAUCGUCUCCAUUGCCAACAAUUGAGGUCUAUGUUACUGGUUGCUUCUCAGAACUUAACCAAGACUCUGCAACUUAGUUUGAGAAAGAAGCAGAGUAGAAGAUUGUCGUUGGAUUUAAUUCCUGAGUAUGAAACUGCGGAGUGCAGAGCCUCAUUAAGACACCUCCUGUGCACUUGAUCUUCAGGCAACAGAGUAUCCGAAUUACAAGAGAGAUACGAAGGAGACAUGUAUUGGAGAAGUGAGUGUAAUGGUGAGUCAGUGAGAUGUCAUGGUUUAAUAUUAGCAGGUGUAAGGGUUGGUGUUGGUCUUGGGAUUGGUGUGUGGUCUUCUAGUUCGUACUUAUCAAUCAACUACCAGAAACUUCAGUAGAAGGCUUCUCUAGCUAGUUUGGUAAUGUAUACAUUAGCACAUUUUUUUACCUCGAAAUUUGAAAGAAUCCUCUUUUUAAAAACCACUUCAAAUUGGGUGUGAUGUGAAUCAAACACUUUGGGUGCGAUGUGAAUCAAACACUUUGGGUGUGGAUAUGUUGGUUUUUUUUGUUUGCUGUAAAUAAAACGAGUGAGUUUUUUUUGUAUAUUGAUUAUUGAGUGACAGACUCAUUCAUCA